rnacentral:rRNA from 1 species
GAUGAACGCUGGCGGCGUGCCUAAUACAUGCAAGUCGAGCGAACGGACGAUGAGCUUGCGGCGCGGACGUGAGGGGCGGACGGGAGAGUAACACGUGGAUAACCUACCUAUAAGACGGAGAUAACCUGGGGAAACCGGAGAUAAUAGGGGAGAAGAUCUUGAAGCGCAGGGGGGAAAGGUGAAAGACGGCGGUGCGGGCAGGAAUAGAGGGAUAUGCGCUGGAUGAGCUAGUUGGUAAGUUAAAGGCUUACGAAGGCAAGGAGGCAUUGACGACGGCAGAGGGUGGUCGCCCACCCUGGAGCUUAGACACGCUCCUGACUACUACGGGACGCACCAGUCGGGAACCUUCCGCAAUGGGCGGAAGCCUGACGCAGCAACGCCACGCCAGUGGUGACGGCCCUCGGAUCGUAAUACUCUCUUACUAGUGAUGAACAUCUGUGUCAUUUGCUGUGGCGAUCUUGACGGUACCUAGUCAGAAAGCACCGGCUAACUACGUG